rnacentral:rRNA from 1 species
GGUCUGUAACUGACGCUGAUGGGCGAAACCGGGGGGAUCAAACAGGUUUAGAUACCCUGGUAGUCCACGCCGUAAACGAUGAGUGCUAAGAGUUAAGGCGCUUCCGCCCCUUAGUGCUGCAGCUAACGCAUUAAGCACUCCGCCUGGGGAGUACGACCGCAAGGUUGAAACUCAAAGGAAUUGACGGGGACACGCACAAGCGAAGGAGCAAGAGGUUUAAUUCGAAGAAACGCGUCGAACCUUUCCAAAUCUUGACAUCCUUUGAUAACUCUUGAGAGAGAGC